CUGCUGCUGAAGAGUCGCGAACUAGGACGAAACAGCUGUCCAGUAC
rnacentral:hammerhead_ribozyme from 1 species